rnacentral:lncRNA from 1 species
GCCGCACAAUAAUCAGGUGCAUCUACUCGGCUCUAGACCGACUAUCCCAUUGGAGACGGGCUACAACAGCACCUUUUAUACGAUACUAGUUGAAAAAGAAUAUUAUUUAAGGUAUCCUAACAUGCCAUUUCUCAGCUCAUGUAGAUCUCAAUCUGGUUGGUUGUUGGAACCUUUGUUUAAAAUUGGUCAUAGUGAACCUGGGUUUAGCAAGAGUGCCUCAAAACAACAGC